rnacentral:rRNA from 1 species
AGAUUGAACGCUGGCGGCAGGCCUAACACAUGCAAGUCGAGCGGUAGAGAGGUGCUUGCAUCUCUUGAGAGCGGCGGACGGGUGAGUAAUGCCUAGGAAUCUGCCUAGUGGUGGGGGAUAACGUUCGGAAACGGACGCUAAUACCGCAUACGUCCUACGGGAGAAAGCGGGGGACCUUCGGGCCUCGCGCCAUUAGAUGAGCCUAGGUCGGAUUAGCUAGUUGGUGAGGUAAUGGCUCACCAAGGCGACGAUCCGUAACUGGUCUGAGAGGAUGAUCAGUCACACUGGAACUGAGACACGGUCCAGACUCCUACGGGAGCAGCAGUGGGGAAUAUUGCACAAGUGGGACGAAAGCC